rnacentral:rRNA from 1 species
AACGAACGCUGGCGGCAGGCUUAACACAUGCAAGUCGAGCGCCCCGCAAGGGGAGCGGCAGACGGGUGAGUAACGCGUGGGAACGUACCUUUUGGUUCGGAACAACUCCGGGAAACUGGAGCUAAUACCGGAUAAGCCCUAACGGGGAAAGAUUUAUCGCCGAAAGAUCGGCCCGCGUCUGAUUAGCUAGUUGAUGAGGUAACGGCUCACCAAGGCGACGAUCAGUAGCUGGUCUGAGAGGAUGAUCAGCCACACUGGGACUGAGACACGGCCCAGACUCCUACGGGAGGCAGCAGUGGGGAAUAUUGGACAAUGGGCGCAAGCCUGAUCCAGCCAUGCCGCGUGAGUGAUGAAGGCCUUAGGGUUGUAAAGCUCUUUUGUCCGGGAAGAUAAUGACUGUACCGGAAGAAUAAGCCCCGGCUAACUUCGUG